GUGGGGAAUUUUGGACAAUGGGCGCAAGCCUGAUCCAGCAAUGCCGCGUGCAGGAAGAAGGCCUUCGGGUUGUAAACUGCUUUUGUACGGAACGAAACGGUCCGGGUUAAUACCCUGGGCUAAUGACGGUACCGUAAGAAUAAGCACCGGCUAACUACGUGCCAGCAGCCGCGGUAAUACGUAGGGUGCAAGCGUUAAUCGGAAUUACUGGGCGUAAAGCGUGCGCAGGCGGUUUUGUAAGACAGGCGUGAAAUCCCCGGGCUCAACCUGGGGAUUGCGCUUGUGACUGCAAGGCUGGAGUGCGGCAGAGGGGGAUGGAAUUCCGCGUGUAGCAGUGAAAUGCGUAGAUAUGCGGAGGAACACCGAUGGCGAAGGCAAUCCCCUGGGCCUGCACUGACGCUCAUGCACGAAAGCGUGGGGAGCAAACAGGAUUAGAAACCCCAGUAGUCC
rnacentral:rRNA from 1 species